rnacentral:rRNA from 1 species
AUUGAACGCUGGCGGCAUGCCUUACACAUGCAAAUCGAACGGUAACGGGCCUUCGGGUCCUGACAAGUGGUGCACGGGGGAGUAUUACAGCGUAACGUGCCCGAUCGUGAGGGACAACGAGGCGGGAGCUUUGCUAAUACCGCAUACGAUCUACGCGUGAAAGCAUGGUAAUUCCAGGCCAAUCGCGGAAUAAGCGGACGAUGGCAGAUGAGGGAGUUGGUGGGGUAAAAGCGUACCAAGCGGACGAUCUGUAGCCGCUCUGAGAGGAUGACCAGCCACACUGGGAGUGAGACACGGACAAGACUCCUACGGGAGGCAGCAGUGGGGAAUUUUGGACAAUGGGCGAAAUCCUGAUCCAGCCAUGCCGCGUGGGGGAUGAAGGUCUUCGGGUUUUAAACUGAUUUUGUACGGAAGGAAAAGCGUUAUUUUAAUACGGGCGCGUCAUGACGGUACCGAAAGAAUAAGCACCGGCUAACUACGUG